UCCGUAGGCGGGUAAUUAAGUCAGAGGUGAAAUCCCACAGCUUAACUGUGGAACUGCCUUAGAUACUGGUUAUCUUGAGUUUUAGUGAAGUAGAUAGAAUGUGUAGUGUAGCGGUGAAAUGCAUAGAUAUUACACAGAAUACCGAUUGCGAAGGCAGUCUACUAACUGUACACUGACGCUAAUGGACGAAAGCGUGGGGAGCGAACAGGAUUAGAUACCCUGGUAGUCC
rnacentral:rRNA from 1 species